UGUACCCUCAAGCUCUGCUUGGUGUUGGGUGUUUGUCCCGCUUUGCGCGUGGACUCGCCUCAAAGCAAUUGGCAGCCGGCAAUCUGGUUAUAGAGCGCAGCACAUUUUGCGCUUCUUGCCACGGAUGUCGGCGUCCAUCAAGCCUACACUUUUGCUCU
rnacentral:misc_RNA from 1 species